ensembl:misc_RNA Y_RNA Y RNA
GGUUGGUCCAAGUGCAGGGGUUUUUACAACUAAUUGAUCACAACCGUUACGAUUCGUUUGCCCUUCUCCACUCCCACUGUUUCACUUAACUAGCCUUAG